rnacentral:rRNA from 1 species
AGUCGAGCGGAUGAGGUGAGCUUGCUCAUGGAUUCAGCGGCGGACGGGUGAGUAAUGCCUAGGAAUCUGCCUGGUAGUGGGGGACAACGUUUCGAAAGGAACGCUAAUACCGCAUACGUCCUACGGGAGAAAGCAGGGGACCUUCGGGCCUUGCGCUAUCAGAUGAGCCUAGGUCGGAUUAGCUAGUUGGUGAGGUAAUGGCUCACCAAGGCUACGAUCCGUAACUGGUCUGAGAGGAUGAUCAGUCACACUGGAACUGAGACACGGUCCAGACUCCUACGGGAGGCAGCAGUGGGGAAUAUUGGACAAUGGGCGAAAGCCUGAUCCAGCCAUGCCGCGUGUGUGAAGAAGGUCUUCGGAUUGUAAAGCACUUUAAGUUGGGAGGAAGGGUUGUAGAUUAAUACUCUGCAGUUUUGACGUUACCGACAGAAUAAGCACCGGCUAACUCUGUGCCAGCAGCCGCGGUAAUACAGAGGGUGCAAGCGUUAAUCGGAAUUACUGGGCGUAAAGCGCGCGUAGGUGGUUCGUUAAGUUGGAUGUGAAAUCCCCGGGCUCAACCUGGGAACUGCAUCCAAAACUGGCGAGCUAGAGUAUGGUAGAGGGUGGUGGAAUUUCCUGUGUAGCGGUGAAAUGCGUAGAUAUAGGAAGGAACACCAGUGGCGAAGGCGACCACCUGGACUGAUACUGACACUGAGGUGCGAAAGCGUGGGGAGCAAACAGGAUUAGAUA